GGGUUCCGUUCUACUGUCAAUGUGGCUUUCGUGUUACUUGACAUGUCAGUAUCUGUUGAGUUCUGUACACUCCCUGAAGCAUCACUACGAGUAGAGGUGCCUGUGCUACCAGAUUCUGUCAUGGAUGGUGGGGUGUCAAAUGCUGGUCCGCUGGAUGACACACUAGGAUCAGGUGAUGGGUGUUCUGUUGCUGAAUUUUCAACACUGGUUGCUGGAGAGGAAGCAGGCUCUAUCUUUGAAGGUUCAUGUCGCUCUACUGUCUUCAAGGAACCACAACGUUCUGCAAUGGAAGAUGCAUCUACAUAAUGUUUUUGUGAAGAUUCCAUGGAAGUGGGGUUGACACUAGCCUGUUCUUGUUCAGCAUUAGGAUAUCUCAUCUCCAAGU
rnacentral:misc_RNA from 1 species